GUGAUGGGUGCUAAAGGCACAAACUUCUAACUAAUCAUGCCGAGGGGAGGGCUCCAGCCAUCCGUGGCUUUGCGCCAGGCAGUGACAUGGUAUUUGUCAAGGGUUGACGGAGGCAAUCCAGCGUUCAGGGAAAGAGUUCUGCUUCUGGGGUCAGGCUAGAGGGUUAUCCUGGCCCUGCCUCGGCCUCCGAGUGGCCUUGAGCAAGUCUGUAAUCUCCAGGAACCACGGCAACACCAUCAUCUGAAAAGAGAGUGUCCCUACCUACAAAGUGGGGACAGUUCAUGGGACAUCAGUAUGAAAAGGCACCUUUGAAGUAUAAAGUGCUUCGUGAAUCCAGGGGCUGAGCCACUUCCGUCCUCACUGUCCUGAACCCCAUCUGAGUCUCAUCACCCUCACGGCCUCAGGCUGCUCUGCUUUGGGGCCUCCUCUGGUUCUUACUGCUGUGAAAGGAUUCUGUCGGCUGGGAAUUCAGAAAGGGCCCAGCUAGAAUGGCUCUCUGUGCUCCAUGAUGAGGCCUCAGGUGGAAAAAGUCAGAGGCUGGAGGAGUGACUCAAAAACCAGGCACCAGAAUCAUCUGAAGACCCGUGCACUCACAGGUCUGCUCUUGGCGGGACCUCACCCGGAAUGUUGGCCAGAACAUCUGCACCUGAGCCCUCUGGGGGACGGCUGGGCUUCCUCACAGUGUGGUGGCUGGGUCCCAGGGGCACGCAUCCCAGGGGAGCCAGUGCAUACUCGUCGGACUGGCCUCAGGAGUCACAUAGCCUCGCUUCCACUGUGAACACUUCCAUUCAGAUUCAUGGGAAGGAAGAGAGGCCACCACCUCUAGAUGGGAAGUCCUACUGUAGAAACAGUGCGUAGGAAGGAAGACAUUUUUGAAAAAUUCAAUCUACCAGGGGGUCUGAGUCACGAGAUGAAUGAACAAGCCAACGGGUUAGAAUUCUGGACCAGGGAAGUGACUUGGCAGAUGCUGCAUCCCCCUAUUACUGGUCAUUUCUGGCUCCAGGCUUCCAUGGAGAUCAGCACAGAUUGUACCCAUCCCAGGAAAUAUGCCCUGAGCAAAGAUCAAACCAUGAAGUGUCCAGAGGGUGGGGGCAGAUGGCACAACAGCUCUUUCUUCCCAUUCCUGACCUCUCUGCCUACCCCAAGGCCUGAGCUGGUCUUGGUAUGUACGUCUCCCCAUUUCCCAGAAUGAGCCCAGCCUCCCACUCCACAAGCAGUGCUCCCCAGGGC
ensembl:lncRNA